CCACAAGAUAGCUUGCUCACUGAGCAAAAUAAUCUAGAUCAUUAUUCGACAAUUCAAUUUAAACAACUCGAUAUCAUACCAUUUGUUGAAAUUCCCUUAAAUUAAUCAAAGAAACCAGAGGAAAUCAUAAUGGCAAGUUAAUACAUGCAAAAUAUUACAUAGAUAGGAUAAAUCGUGGGAUCUUACUCAAAUUAAUGCCCCUUCAGGUUUUUGAAGAUUUCAAGUUUUUCUUGGAGGUUCAAAAGUCGGCCAGCAAUGUUUGGCAGGUUCUUGGGAAAAUUUAAAUUGUUAGUUUUUAUGAAUCUCAAAUUUCUUGAAGGUUGAAGAACAGCCAGCAACAUAUUUUCUUGAAGUUUCGGGCAGAUUCAAAAGGGUUGUAAACCGGCAAGAAAAGGUGUUGCAAUGUCCUUUAAGGAAGACUCAAGGCAGCUUCUUGGUUCAAUCAAGUGCCAGCAGGUUGCUUUCUUGCAAUGGUUGAGCUGCUUCAUGGGAUUACUUGGUUCCAUGUUCAGUCAGCUAUAUUUAUACUGUGAGUUUGGCCUGUUUAUGUGCCAUUCUAGUCAGUUUGUGGGCAGAUUCUGGGUGUUUAUCUGGCCAGCUGGGUGUUAGCUCUUGAAGAUUUGAAAUGGUUCUUGAAGUUCAUAAGUAGGUAAAUUAACA
rnacentral:lncRNA from 1 species